rnacentral:rRNA from 1 species
GACGAACGCUGGCGGCGUGCCUAAUACAUGCAAGUAGGACGCAGUUGCGAACGGGUGAGUAACGCGUAGGUAACUAUCCAUUAGAGGGGGUUAACUAAUGGAAACGCUAGCCAAUACCGCAUACUAGUAGAUGGAUCUGCGUUGUAUUAGGUAGUAGGUAGGGUAAUGGCCUACCUAGGCAACUAUACAUAGUCGACCGUAGAGGGUGGUCGGCCACACUGGGACUGAGACACGGCCCAGACGCCUACGGGAGGCAACAGUAGGGAAUCUUCGGCAAUGGGGGGAAACCUGACCGAGCAACUCCGCGUGAGUGAAGAAGGUUUUCGGAUCGUAAAGCUCUGUUGUUAAGGAAGCGGUACUUAACCAGAAAGGGACGGCUAACUACGUGCCAGCAGCCGCGGUAAUUC